UUAGCGGCGNGACGGGUGAGUAACACGUGGGUAACCUGCCCAUAAGACUGGGAUAACUCCGGGAAACCGGGGCUAAUACCGGAUAACAUUUUGAACCGCAUGGUUCGAAAUUGAAAGGCGGCUUCGGCUGUCACUUAUGGAUGGACCCGCGUCGCAUUAGCUAGUUGGUGAGGUAACGGCUCACCAAGGCAACGAUGCGUAGCCGACCUGAGAGGGUGAUCGGCCACACUGGGACUGAGACACGGGCCAGACUCCUACGGGAGGCAGCAGUAGGGAAUCUUCCGCAAUGGACGAAAGUCUGACGGAGCAACGCCGCGUGAGUGAUGAAGGCUUUCGGGUCGUAAAACUCUGUUGUUAGGGAAGAACAAGUGCUAGUUGAAUAAGCUGGCACCUUGACGGUACCUAACCAGAAAGCCACGGCUAACUACGUGCCAGCAGCCGCGGUAAUACGUAGGGGCAAGCGUUAUCCGGAAUUAUUGGGCGUAAAGCGCGCGCAGGUGGUUUCUUAAGUCUGAUGUGAAAGCCCACGGCUCAACCGUGGAGGGUCAUUGGAAACUGGGAGACUUGAGUGCAGAAGAGGAAAGUGGAAUUCCAUGUGUAGCGGUGAAAUGCGUAGAGAUAUGGAGGAACACCAGUGGCGAAGGCGACUNUCUGGUCUGUAACUGACACUGAGGCGCGAAAGCGUGGGGAGCAAACAGGAUUAGAUACCCUGGUAGUCCACGCCGUAAACGAUGAGUGCUAAGUGUUAGAGGGUUUCCGCCUUUANGUGCUGAAGUUAACGCAUUAAGCACUUCCGCCUGGG
rnacentral:rRNA from 1 species